GACGAACGCUGGCGGCGUGCCUAAUACAUGCAAGUCGAACGCUUUGAUUUUCACCGGAGCUUGCUCCACCGAAAAUCAAAGAGUGGCGGACGGGUGAGUAACACGUGGGCAACCUGCCCAACAGAGGGGGAUAACACUUGGAAACAGGUGCUAAUACCGCAUAAUUUGUAUUUCCGCAUGGAAGAAUAAUAAAAGACGCUUCGGUGUCACUGUUGGAUGGGCCCGCGCUGCAUUAGUUAGUUGGUGGGGUAACGGCCUACCAAGACCAUGAUGCAUAGCCGACCUGAGAGGGUGAUCGGCCACACUGGGACUGAGACACGGCCCAGACUCCUACGGGAGGCAGCAGUAGGGAAUCUUCGGCAAUGGACGAAAGUCUGACCGAGCAACGCCGCGUGAGUGAAGAAGGUUUUCGGAUCGUAAAACUCUGUUGUUAGAGAAGAACAAGUGAGAGAGUUACUGUUCUCACCUUGACGGUAUCUAACCAGAAAGCCACGGCUAACUACGUGCCAGCAGCCGCGGUAAUACGUAGGUGGCAAGCGUUGUCCGGAUUUAUUGGGCGUAAAGCGAGCGCAGGCGGUUUCUUAAGUCUGAUGUGAAAGCCCUCGGCUCAACCGAGGAAGGUCAUUGGAAACUGGGGAACUUGAGUGCAGAAGAGGAGAGUGGAAUUCCAUGUGUAGCGGUGAAAUGCGUAGAUAUAUGGAGGAACACCAGUGGCGAAGGCGACUCUCUGGUCUGUAACUGACGCUGAGGCUCGAAAGCGUGGGGAGCAAACAGG
rnacentral:rRNA from 1 species